UACGGAGGGUGCAAGCGUUAAUCGGAAUUACUGGGCGUAAAGCGCACGCAGGUGGCUGAGUCAGUCGAUUGUGAAAGCCCCUGGGCUUAACCUGGGGAAUUGCAGUCGAUACUACUCAGCUAGAGUAUGGGAGAGGGCAGUGGAAUUCCCGGUGUAGCGGUGAAAUGCGUAGAUAUCGGGAGGAACAUCAGUGGCGAAGGCGGUGUUCUGGGCCGGAACUGACGCUGAGGAGCGAAAGCGUGGGUAGCAAACAGG
rnacentral:rRNA from 1 species